rnacentral:rRNA from 1 species
AUUGAACGCUGGCGGCAUGCUUUACACAUGCAAGUCGAACGGUAACAGGCCUUCGGGUGCUGACGAGUGGCGAACGGGUGAGUAAUGCAUCGGAACGUACCCAGAGGUGGGGGAUAACGCAGCGAAAGCUGUGCUAAUACCGCAUGUGAUCUGAGGAUGAAAGCGGGGGACCGAGCAGCAAUGUUUGGCCUCGCGCCUUUGGAGCGGCCGAUGUCGGAUUAGCUAGUUGGUGGGGUAAAGGCCUACCAAGGCGACGAUCCGUAGCUGGUCUGAGAGGACGACCAGCCACACUGGGACUGAGACACGGCCCAGACUCCUACGGGAGGCAGCAGUGGGGAAUUUUGGAAAAUGGGCGCAAGCCUGAUCCAGCAAUGCCGCGUGCGGGAAGAAGGCCUUCGGGUUGUAAACCGCUUUUGGCAGGAACGAAACGGUGUCCGCUAAUACCGGGCGCUAAUGACGGUACCUGCAGAAUAAGCACCGGCUAACUACGUG